rnacentral:lncRNA from 1 species
CUUUCUUCCUUCCAACCAUGACAACUUCCACGUUUUGAUAACUUUUUACAUUUACUUUUCCAGCGGUGUAAAUAGUUAUGAAUUCUUUCAUGACUGAAGAAUUGUAAAAAGCCCUGUUGUGGGGGUUGGUUCCACCAUUAAUCAAAUAAGGAAUUUGUCUACAAGACCAAGCAUCUGAUGAAACUCAUGUAUUGGAAUUUAUGUGUCUUCGAGAAGGAAAUACAUGAUGAGUCUACAAACAUCAAACGUGGCUUCAGAGCAAGGACGUACUCACUUGAAAAGAAGACAUUAGAAGCAUUUGAAAUCAGACAGCUCAAUAUGACAAAAAAGUUAAACUGCUGACGGACGGACAGCCGGCUUACAACUUCUCUGGAUACGGGUAUGGAACACAAGAAGAGUGCAGGGGGCUUGGUCAGCGUUUUACCAUCGACACCGCAACAUCACCACCACCACCACCACUAUCAACACAACAACAACAACAACAAUAAUAAUAAUAUCAAUGUUAAUAACAAUAAUAACAGUAAUAAUGAUAAUCACCAUUACGAAGAAAAUGAGCAGCAGCAGAUACUCGG